rnacentral:lncRNA from 1 species
AGGUGAGGACAACUUGAAGGUGUUGAAAAUGCACAGAACUGUUUGCUUGGGAACGCUCUUCUCCUUGUAGCCCCUCAGCUCUCUAAAUUCGUCCAGGGAAGCUCGUCUUCUCGCCUGACCAUGCGCUGGGUCUUGGUGCCUGUUCGAGUCCCUGAAAGGGCCAGUUAGUUUCCCAGAGCAGGACACCUUUCUCUGUGUCACACUGUACAGCCAUGCCUCAGAAAGCUACCCAGCAAUGCGAGCUGUUGCUCAUGGGCUCAGUGCAAGUUCACUCCCAACAAAGGAGAAAGACUUCUGUUUUUUCAAACUGUAUUCCACCUGUAUAUGAACGUCCUAAAUUCUAAGUUACUUGAAGUGUGUAUCACGAUGAGUUGAUACACACAGACACCGUGAAAGGAUCCCUCCCUGCCUAGUUAAUUGGCACAUCCUUCACCUUCCGCAUUUACCUUCUGUGUGUGUGUGAGGGGACACUGAAGUGCUACCUUCUUGGCAAAUUUCAGUUCUGCAGUGCAGUGUUACCGGCUACAGUCACCCAGUUUUACAUCCGAACCUCAGAGGAGAGACGGUCCUCUGGGCACCUCCAAGUGCCACCUUGUUUAGGGAGGGCAUCACCUGGAGCCCCCCAGCUCACAGUCUUGCAGGGAGCCCUUCAGUCCAGCGUCCAAAUGUUGGAACUGCGUGGGGCAGCAGUUUGCGAUGGCUGAGUUAAAGGCGGCCGUCGCCUUGAUUCUGCUCCGCUUCUCACUGACGGCAGAACCCACCAGGCCUCUCGUCUCCAGGCCCAAUAUUUUCCUCAAACCCAAGAACGGGCUCUACUUGCACCUGAAGAAACUCCCCUAAUGUCAGCCCAGAGUACGAUGAGUACAUACAUUUUAUUUUGAAGGGAAGUCGUAGCUGAUGGUUCAAGACAAGGAGGAGAAUGCAAGCGUGGGGGUGGGGUUAAGAGAAGAAGGGCUGAGGGCCCCUGUAGAGCUGCCCAUUGUUCAAAGCAUGUCUGUGUGACCUAAGGUAGCACCUAGAUCUCUUUCCGUAGGACCGACCAGAUUUUCAGAUCACUUCUGUUUGAUUCUGGCUACUACUCUUGCCACAUAUCAAGCAAGAGUUUUGCUAGAUGGCUUCCAUAUAAUUUCGAUUGUUUUAAACUUUUUUCAGAAUGACACAGGUCAUAGGUGAAUGUAUGCUCACUGUAAAAGGUUUACAACACUCGAAAAGCGGGUGGAGUUACAAGUAACCUAGGCCACACCUCCCUGCCCAAUCUACUGCUUUUCCUGAAGACGGAAUAGUUUGGCGUGCAUUCUUUCAGCUUUUCCCCUGUACAGUUCCGAUGUGCAUGUGUAUGUGUGUGCUCUUGUCUAUGGGAUCACAUCCAUAUUGUUCCUGCUUUUUCUCACUUAAUAAAAACGCGUCUCAGUCCUAGUCA